rnacentral:rRNA from 1 species
UGAGUAACCUGCCCUUAACUCUGGGAUAAGCCUGGGAAACUGGGUCUAAUACCGGAUAUGACUCCUCAUCGCAUGGUGGGGGGGUGGAAAGCUUUAUUGUGGUUUUGGAUGGACUCGCGGCCUAUCAGCUUGUUGGUGAGGUAAUGGCUCACCAAGGCGACGACGGGUAGCCGGCCUGAGAGGGUGACCGGCCACACGUGGGACUGAGACACGGCCCAGACCUCCGUACGGGAGGCAG